rfam:Parcubacteria bacterium GW2011_GWA2_47_7 TY04_C0013, whole genome shotgun sequence.
GCCUUGUAUUAGGUAUUCGCGCUUCUCGCAAGGGAAGUGAGGAAAGUCCGAACUCUCACCUCGCAAGAGGUAAGAGGGUAGCGGGUAACGCCCGUCGUGGGUAACCAUAGAGGUGCGAGCAGUGACGCCCGGAUCGAAAGAAAUGGGAUCCGUCCGGAUUUAUCCGAUGGAUAAUCCCGCCGAAAUGCGGGGGUGAAACGGCUAAAUCCUUACCUGGGUGCAAGGCCGUGUCCUGGUGAAAGCCAGGAAGUGCCGCUUGAGCUCUUGGGUAACCAAGAGCCUAGAUAAAUGGAUACCACCCAAAGCGUGCGUUUUGGGGACAGAAUUCGGCUUAUAGAUACAAGGCGCAU